rnacentral:rRNA from 1 species
UUCGAUGGAUAGGGGUUCUGAGAGGAAGGUCCCCCACAUUGGAACUGAGACACGGUCCAAACUCCUACGGGAGGCAGCAGUGAGGAAUAUUGGUCAAUGGGCGCAGGCCUGAACCAGCCAAGUAGCGUGAAGGAUGACUGCCCUAUGGGUUGUAAACUUCUUUUAUAUGGGAAUAAAGUUUUCCACGUGUGGAAUUUUGUAUGUACCAUAUGAAUAAGGAUCGGCUAACUCCGUGCCAGCAGCCGCGGUAAUACGGAGGAUCCGAGCGUUAUCCGGAUUUAUUGGGUUUAAAGGGAGCGUAGGUGGACAGUUAAGUCAGUUGUGAAAGUUUGCGGCUCAACCGUAAAAUUGCAGUUGAUACUGGCUGUCUUGAGUACAGUAGAGGUGGGCGGAAUUCGUGGUGUAGCGGUGAAAUGCUUAGAUAUCACGAAGAACUCCGAUUGCGAAGGCAGCUCACUGGACUGCAACUGACACUGAUGCUCGAAAGUGUGGGUAUCAAACAGGAUUAGAUACCCUGGUAGUCCACACAGUAAACGAUGAAUACUCGCUGUUUGCGAUAUACAGUAAGCGGCCAAGCGAAAGCAUUAAGUAUUCCACCUGGGGAGUACGCCGGCAACGGUGAAACUCAAAGGAAUUGACGGGGGCCCGCACAAGCGGAGGAACAUGUGGUUUAAUUCGAUGAUACGCGAGGAACCUUACCCGGGCUUAAAUUGCAUUUGAAUAUAUUGGAAACAGNAUAGCCGNAAGGCAAAUGUGAAGGUGCUGCAUGGUUGUCGUCAGCUCGUGCCGUGAGGUGUCGGCUUAAGUGCCAUAACGAGCGCAACCCUUAUCUUUAGUACUAACAGUCA